ACCUCCUGGCUGAGGGUCGU
rnacentral:rRNA from 1 species